rnacentral:rRNA from 1 species
CAGCAGCCGCGGUAAUACGGAGGGUGCAAGCGUUAAUCGGAAUUACUGGGCGUAAAGCGCACGCAGGCGGUCUGUCAAGUCGGAUGUGAAAUCCCCGGGCUCAACCUGGGAACUGCAUUCGAAACUGGCAGGCUAGAGUCUUGUAGAGGGGGGUAGAAUUCCAGGUGUAGCGGUGAAAUGCGUAGAGAUCUGGAGGAAUACCGGUGGCGAAGGCGGCCCCCUGGACAAAGACUGACGCUCAGGUGCGAAAGCGUGGGGAGCAAACAGGAUUAGAUACCCGGGUAGUCCCUGUCUCUUAUAC